UACAGAGGGUGCGAGCGUUAAUCGGAAUUACUGGGCGUAAAGCGCGCGUAGGCGGCUUUGCAAGUCGGGUGUGAAAUCCCCAGGCUUAACCUGGGAACUGCAUUCGAGACUGCAUUGCUAGAGUAUGGGAGAGGGAAGUGGAAUUUCCGGUGUAGCGGUGAAAUUCGUAGAUAUGGGGAGGAACACCGGUGGCGAAGGCGGCCAUCUGGACGGAUACUGACGCUGAGACGCGAAAGCGUGGGGAGCAAACAGG
rnacentral:rRNA from 1 species